CCCGCCAUGGAGCUCGUAUACAAUUUAAAGAUGUUCGAAAAGUAUAAUUUCUCCCACGCAUUCAAAUUUUGGAUGGAUAAACGAAAAUUGGAAUUGGAGAAAGGGAAGGUGAAUAUGAGCAGUAACCUCAACUUCAUCAUCGAAGGUGAUGAACCAUUUUUCAUCGCUUUCGAUGAAUUUCACAUGAAACACAUUCAAAAUGCUCCUAAGUGUUUCCAUGGGUGGAAAAUGUUUGCCAUUGCGGCGUCCAAUUUAAAUGGACACCUGCAAAUCAUACAUUUAAAAGCUAUGUCGAGUGGGAUAGGGAAAUUGGGGUCCGUCGCCAUUAAGGAUAGCGUAGAAGAAGUGCUCAAUUUAAUAGAAAAAUCGCGCUUAAAAAGCAAAUUGGCCGGCGCAGUGGCGGACAAAUGCCCCUCGAAACAGGAGGCAAUAGCCUUCUUACAACAAAAACAAGUACCGGUGUUAUAUGACCUAAACCAUUUUUGUGGAACUAUCCUACGGUUAGGUCAUGUUGAUAAGAUUUUAUCACACCUGUAUCUUGAUGUUUCAUUUUCGAAACAUAAUUUUGUUUCAUAUAUAACAAAAUUUAAAAGUUUAGUCGGGGACACCGUCCCAGUGGAUUUGAAGGAUCGAUACAUAGACGAGGCAAGUUUUAAUAAAA